GACCCAAAAGAUAUUCACUACAUCAGUGCAGAGCAAACAGAAGUCGAGAUGCUUAAUACAAGUUUUGAGAUGAGUAAGUAAGCCCAUGUGAAUCAAACUCCAGAAAUGUGUAAAUAUGUGUAUGCUAUUGCAUAUAAAUACAAUGUACAUUGUUGCUAUGCUCGAUCUGUAUGCUUGUUAUUUGAUAUGUAUGUAUUAUUGAAAUGUUAAUUGUUAAAUUAUAUGACUGUUACAUAUUGUAUUUGUUGUGGUAUAAUUUGUAUUUAUUUGUAUGUAAAGUUCGAUGUAUCAGGUAAAUAUGUUUAUGUAUGUUUGUUAUUUAAUACAUGUAUAUUAAUAUAUUGAAUACAAUUCAACAACAAACUACUUUUUUUCGGUAUAUAAUUCUAUGAAAAACAAACACUCAACAUAUAUUUGAAUGUAUAAUGUACAUAAUAAAGCGAGAUACACAUACAUGUUCUUACAUAUGCUAAUGUGUUGCAUUAACAAAGACCAACUGGUCUGACAGGUCAAACUGUACUCAGUGACCACACCGCCUCAGUUAAGAGACCACCUCCUAGAUUCACAUUGGGUGGUCUCCGAAGACAGGUUAGAAUGUACUUUGAUUACACUAUUAAUAGAAACUAGAAAUAUUGUGUUCAAGAUUCAGUUCAGAGAUGGCCGAGCAUAAAGUUGCUCGCCAAUCAUCAAGACUAUCAAAGAGGAAAGUACGGUAAAAAUGUAGGUAAGCCUCAGCCUUUACUGAGGACUUGCCUUUGUGAUCUGUGCCAUGGCUUUGUUUUCUGUAGUAGAGUGAUUGCCUGAUCUGUUUUCUGUCUCUUGUUAGCUUGGAUGGAUCUUGUUGCUCUCUUGGUGAUGUGCAAAGACUGAUUCUUGGCUCUGUCCUGAGUCUGCUGAUGGGACUAGGCAGCUGUCAUACAGGAGUUGGAGCCAUAUUCCAGAUCUCAUGGCUGUUAGCUGAUAUUGACGCACCGGUAGAGGACCUCAGAGGGCUUUUAGCUGGUAUUGACGCACCGGUCAUACAGGAGUUGGAGCCAUAUUCCAGUUGAAAGAAUGAGACGAAGAAGCUCGAGUUACCAGGAAAGAAGUCUUCAUGUUGAUAUGUCUCAUGCUGAAAGAAGCGGCUAUAAAGCAGCAUCUACCGAGGCGGUAAAUCAGCCUUCCAAAUCUCGUCUACCGGAGCUUGAGAACACCCCAAGAAAAGCCUGUCCCGAUAAGCAAUGUAAAAGCCUGCCCCGUUGAGAAAUCUAAAAAGACACCUAGGAAAGAAUAAAUUCGCAGCAUCUGUGCCAGUGAUUGAAGCGCAGAAAAAAAGGCAGAGGUAGAGAGGCAAAAAACCAACGAGAGGGAAAUAGCAGCAUCUACCAAGGGGGUGAAUUAGCCUUCAAAAUCUCGGCUACCGGAGAUAAAGAACAACCCAAGAAAAGCCUGUCCCGAUAAGCAAUGUAAGAAGACACAUAAGGAGAUCAAAGAAUAAAUUCAGAACAACCAAGUAUCUGCAAAGAAAACAAUUCGGCAAGCACCCUAGCAGCUGCAGCCAGUAGGUCAGCAGGGGGCACACAUACAUUGACAAUAUCCAAUUGAGAAGCUUUACUGGGCAAGUCCUUCAUCUCCACUGCAACUGAAAUGAGAAUGAUAUGAGGUGAUAAUCAAAUCACUAAAGGCACUGCAGUUUUUUUGCAAGUGUGUGGUGUAAACGUGAGUCUUCAAAACCAAACAACAACCACAGUGUUUUGAAGAAAUACAUAAGUGAAAUCAACAUCAUCAUCAUUGUGCACCAACAUCGUCAUUACAACGAGAUAGAAAGAUUGCUCACAAUUAAGAAUGAUUCUUUAAACAAUAUUAUUACUCCACAGAAGGAAAUCAGCUGAAAGGAGAAAAAAAAUCUGCCCAGCAUUUCAGUAUUAGUUCCAAUAAAACAAAGUAGAUGUAAGCUAUGUACAAAAACUCAUAAGUUUCAUGUUAUUUUUCCAUGCUUUUGAGGCGUCUUCUUUUGAAGAAAAAUAUACAGUGGCUUGUCUGCAUUUCUUUUUCCUGUUCAGCAUAACUCUUUUUUUUUUCAAAUUCAAAUUAAAAUUUAAAAAUAAUUUUGAGUGGUGAAAGGUCAAGGUCAUCCUUCAAGGUCAAAGGUCAACAAAAAAAAGCGGAGCAUUAGGGGGCUUUGUGUUUCUGACAAACUCAUCUCUUGUUAAUAUUGGCAGCUAAGGAAAUGUAGCAUAGUCAUAGCUUUGUAUUAUUUUCCUCCCAUGUGAAAGAUGUGACAAGUUUAACUUAUAUCUGUGAUUUACCUCUUUGAGAAUUCUGUUGAAAACGGUAUAAACCCCUAAUAAACAAAAACAUCUGCUACUGAAUAUAAGAUAUGGUAAAAAUAAUCAGCAACUAAGGAAGUAAUGGUUUUCAUGCACCAUAGUGUGGAUGGAUCUUGUUGCUCUCUUGGUGAUGUGCAAAGACUGAUUCUUGGCUCUGUCCUGAGUCUGCUGAUGGGACUAGGCAACUGUCAUACAGGAGUUGGAGCCAUAUUCCAGAUCUCAUGGCUGUUAGCUGAUAUUGACGCACCGGUAGAGGACCUCAGAGGGCUUUUAGCUGGUAUUGACGCACCGGUCAUACAGGAGUUGGAGCCAUAUUCCAGAUCUCAUGGCUGUUAGCUGAUAUUGACGCACCGGUAGAGGACCUCAGAGGGCUUUUAGCUGGUAUUGACGCACCGGUCAUACAGGAGUUGGAGCCAUAUUCCAGAUAUUCGAGUUGCUGACCUCCCUGUCCCAGGUGGAAGGCAUCGGUAAAACAGUGUGCAAGAUGUUCGGCUUGUGCCAGGACAAAAAUGACCCCUGCUGGCUAAGAUUGGGGCAUCUUCCAAGUGGUGAAUCAGCAUUCCGCAUUGAGACUACCGGAGCUGGAGAAGGCCUCAAGAAAGGCCUGUCCCGAGAAGCAAUUAUAUCGGAUGCCAUAUCAAACCACAGAGACGACACACAACUGCAACUAAUAUCGGGUACCAUGCAUCAUCCGGCAUUCCACCCCAACAGACGACACGCCCUUGAUGACAAGGUAAACCACGACCCCUUUCCCGGCCCUCACUCUGGUCGCACACUGCGCCCCCAGGCGGACAGCAACACGACCCAGAACAGCGAUAUGGAGACUACCUCCAGUGAACUAUAGAGAUACUCAUCGAAAAACUUAAUCAGGGACUCGUGGAGCAGUUUGGGGUUUUAAGAAGACCAUUCGAGAAGUACACCAACUGUUGCCUAAUUGCAAAGAAGAAAGAAGUCUGCAAAUAAGCGGCUAUAAAGCAACAUCUACCAAAGCGGUUUCCAAAUCUCGGCUACCUAAAGUGGAGUAAACGCCCCGAAAAAAGCCUUUCCACAAAAACAAUCAUAUACAAAGGUACAGAAAAUCAGCCUUCCAAAUUUCGACAACCGGAGCUGGAGAACGCAACAAGAAAAGCCUUACCUGAUAAGAAAUCAUCUUCAGAGGCGAUGAAUAAGCAUACCGAAUGUAUGGAACCGGAGCUGGAGAACGCCCCUAGAAAGGCCUGUCCCGAGAAGCAAUCCGCAUCAACCGAUGCGGUUAAUCAGCCGUCCAAAUCUCGGCAAGGCGGUGAAUCAGCAUUCCGCAUUGAGACUACCGGAGCUGGAGAAGGCCUCAAGAAAGGCCUGUCCCGAGAAGCAAUAGGUACCAUGCAAGGAUGUCAAUAAUGAAGAUGGGAAACAAAUCAACAGCAGCAUCUUCCAAGGCGGUGAAUCAGCAUUCCGCAUUGAGACUACCGGAGCUGGAGAACGCCCCAAGAAAGGCCUGACCCGAGAAGCAAUGUAAGAAGACACCUAGGAGAUCAAAGAAUAAACAUCUUCCAAGGCGGUGAAUCAGCAUUCCGCAUUGAGACUACCGGAGCUGGAGAAGGCCUCAAGAAAGGCCUGUCCCGAGAAGCAAUCAUCUUCCGUGGCGGUAAAUAAGCCGUCCAAAUCUUGGCAAUCGAAGCUGGACAGCCCUUCAAGAAAUGCCGUACCUGAUAAAAAAUUAAAAACUCCACAAGCGACACCACCAUCAACUUCUUUUUGGAGUUUAAGCGAGGAAGACACACAAGCUCAAAUCAAUAUGAGAGGCCACGACAGGAAAAACAAAGGCUGCGGAUGUGAACAGUGUAUGUUUGCUUACUGGAGAGUAAAACAAAGGCUGCGGAUGUGAACAGUGAAAGGUCCCCUAGGGGAAAACAGCUGGCUGCAAAGAUGAUGAGAGCUGACAGUUCACUCCAGCCAGGGCAGGCAAACUCCAGCUCCACCUCUAGCUCUAGCCCGGAGCCUCUGCAGCUAACCCCAAGCCCUGAGCCCCUGCCUCCUAC